AUUGAACGCUGGCGGCAGGCCUAACACAUGCAAGUCGAACGAGUGGCGGACGGGUGAGUAAUGUCUGGGAAACUGCCUGAUGGAGGGGGAUAACUACUGGAAACGGUAGCUAAUACCGCAUACCAUCGGAUGUGCCCAGAUGGGAUUCGCUAGUAGGUGGGGUAACGGCGAACCUAGACGACGAUCCCUAGCUGGUCUGAGAGGAUUACAAGCCAAACUGGAAAUGAGACACGGUCCAGACUCCUACGGGAGGCAGCAGGGGGGAAUAGUGUACAAUGGGCGCAAGCCUGAUGCAGCCAUGCCGCGUGUAUGAAGAAGGCCUUCGGGUUGUAAAGUACUUUCAGCGGGGAGGCGGUACCCGCAGAAGAAGCACCGGCUAACUCCGUGCCAGCAGCCGCGGUAAUAC
rnacentral:rRNA from 1 species